ensembl:snoRNA small nucleolar RNA U3
AAGACUAUACUUUCAGGGAUCAUUUCUAUAGUUUCUGACUUGAGAAAUGUGUUUCUAAAGUGUAUGGUCUCGCUAACCACGAUGAUGAGUCGUGAUAUUUCCUUUUGAGCGUGAAGCAGACAGAAAAUAAUGGUUCAUUUCAUAUGUUUUCUGUUAUUGAUGACCGUUCUUUGCUUCUUUGUGGAGUAAUGAGGGAGGGAAUAUGAUCAGAGUGGUU